UUGUCUUGUUUUAGAAGUGAGUAGAUUACUCUACUUCUAUUGUUGUAUUUUGAAGGUUGUAGAUUAUCCACGUUUAAACAAAUUAUUUAAUUUUCUAACAUUGAUUUUUUUUUCUUUAAAAAGAACAAAUUAUAUCUUUCUUUGUAAAAAAUUUCAUUUGAUAGUAGAGAUUGCAAAUUAUCCUUCUCUCAUUUGACUUGUGGAAUUAUUAACUUAUUUAAAAUGGAAGGAAAAAUUAUAAAUUCUAUACUUAGUAAAAGUGAGAAUAGAUUUAUAACUAUUGUAGAUCUUUGUGAACUUGUCAAUAUUCUUAGAAUAGAAAUUUCAUGCAUCAUGAUUGCCAACUAUAGAAACACUAAUCCUAUGCCCAUAGAAGAAGU
rnacentral:lncRNA from 1 species